UGCUUCCUGUUAUUGCUGGCGCUAGACUUCCUGCUCCUCUCCGAUUGCAUCGACCUGCUUGCGUUGCUCCAGAGUCGAAGGUAGACCGCUAGCAGGCACUGACUGUAUGAGCUCAAACUUAGCGCCCUUGGAAGCAGAAGGAGAGGCCGCUACAGUGAAAAAUCCCCGGCUGCAAAAGACUAGCCUGCAAGCCUGCAGAGAAGCUGACGCCAUCUCAUGUGAAAUACAGCCACCGACCUGAUACUAGCCAGCUGACUCCAUUCGCACCCACAUUCGGCACUCAAGUUUAAAAGGACAGCAUACUUAAGAUUUCUGAGACCAUAAAACAAAGCCACAAAACGAGCCUGUAAGUACAGUCCCAUGCCAACGAGCAAGAAUUUAGUACUUUUUCUCCCGCCUACGUGUAAUCCACCAGCAGGCACUAGAGAUGAGAACAACCAGACUUCUCGGCGCCUGGACCACCUGUGGCAGAUAAAGAUAAAUAAUAAUUAAGAACUGCAAGAUCCCUCAUCGACUACAACUACAAACUAUGUAAAUGUAAAUGUCAUGUAAACUAUGAAAUGUACACUUGUAACCAAAAUUACAAUGUUUGAUCUAUACUCAGCUCGUGAUUUGUGUCAAUUUACAGUUUUGUUCGUCUUUCUAGCUUGAAAUUUGGUAAAGUUAGUCCCUUAGUAUUUUAAUCCUAAGUCUCUACCAUGAAGCCAUACUGCCAUCCAGAGGCUAGAUAAAGAAAUGUCUUUGGAAUGUGGUAGUUUAGUCAAGGCAAAACUGCUUAGCCUAGCCCGAAUAUAAUCUACCUUUACUUGCAAGCGCUUCUUACUAUCAUUAUUUAGUUAUAAUGAAUUAGGAUAUUGAGUAAAGUCAUAGAAAUGAAUGAAUGUUAGUGAUAAUGUGUUUUCAUGCCGACAUGAUGUUUCAUUCCAAAAAAUCAAGGAAUCAUGAUGUGGCAUGAGAAAGGAAAAUGGCAAGGAAAAAAACAAGGACGAGGAAACAUGGAACAUGCGUGGAGACGUUAAGACGACGCGACAAGGAAGAAAGGGAAAGGCAGGGCUAUAUAUACACAUGAGGACUGAGGGAUGACAAGACACAGGUGAGACGCAUGAGGGCAAUCACAGCAGGAGAAACCAAUUAAUAAUCACGAAACAAGGAGGCACAAAACAGGAUACCCAGAAACUUAACAAAAUAAAACAGGAAACACAAGACAUGACCCAGACACACAUGACCAACCACAAGGAGACAGGAGAGACAGGAAACUAGAUAACCCCCCCCCCCACCCGGUGGCGGGACGCUCCCGAGGACGGCUGGGAGGCUGGGAAAAUGUGGCAGGCCGCUCAGGAACGCAGGCGUGGACUGCCGGUGCGGCAAAGGGCUCAGGAUCGGGAACUCAGGCGUGGGCUGCAGGUGCGGCGACCGGCUCAGGAUUGGAAACGUAGGCAUGCGCUGCCGGUGCGGCGACCGGCUCAGGAUCGGGAACGCGGGCAUGGGCAGCAGGUGCGGUAACCGCCUCAGGAACAUGGUCUGCCGGACCUAACGGCUCCUCAGAAUCGGGGACGUGGACUACCGCAGCAAACGGCUCCUCAAGAAUGUGGGCGAUGGGAGCAAACGGCUCCUCGGGAACAUGGACGAUGGGAGCAAACGGCUCCUCGGGAACGUGGACAAUGGGAGCAAACGGCUCCUCAAGGAACGGGAACGUGGGCAAUGGGAGCAAACGGCUCCUCAGGAACGGGAACGUGAGAUGCUGCGGACGGCUGGUUCCUGGGUGCAGGCACUGGGUGCAGGUACUGGGACGCACUGCAGACGGCCGGCCAAGACCGGGGACAAGGAGACAAGGAGGCACAAAACAAGAAACCCAGAAACUUAACAAAAUAAAACAGGAAAUACAAGACACGACCCAGACACACAUGACCGACCACAAGGAGACAUGACAGACAGGAAACUAGAUAACUCGACAAAAUAAAACAGGGAACUUCAAAACAUAACUCCAAAAUGAAAGACAGACCUAAACCAUGACACACUGACAACCGAUUUUUAACACACGUCAUCUGACUCUGCUGCACGGCAACUUCACAGUUGUCCACUUUGUCUACAUAACGCUGAAGAAGACUCCAGCUGUAACCGACACUGAGGUUAAGAUCUGUAGGACUGUCCAUCAAUCUACUUUCAGUGCAUCAGUACUGCUGGGUUUCCCCGACGACACCGCUGUGGAAGAUCAAGCUCACCAGGGUUUGGUAACCUGAUCCAGUUGUUCGGAGCGGCAUCCAAGGAGUUUCCAUAAGUAGACCAUCACCUCAUAUUUGAGCAGAGUUGAUGAUUGUGGUAUAACUAACGAAACCUGAAACAAAUCUAAAUCGUUAAUUUAAGAAAUGAGGUUCCGUUUGCGUCCUCAAUUUCAUUCAUACUUCUCACUUUAGUUAAACUCGUUUCUUUUGAUAUUCUCAUCAUUUUCCAUUACACUGUUAUAUUAUUCAUCAUAUUGUUUAUUAAUCACAAUUCACCUAUGUACAUAAAGCACAUAUUUAACUUAAGUCAUUGUUAGAAGGUCCUUGUGAGCUGGAAAUAGGUGAUCCCUGUACUGAUAGCUGACGCCUCAGAUAUGAUGAGACUGAUUAAAUACUAAUAAUUAAUGUCGAUCCAAUAUUAAUUGAGUUAUUCUCAUAGUGUAUUCUAAAUCUGUGAGUGGUGCCCCAUUUUGAGAAGUGCAGUUAUUACACUUAAUUGUUUAAUAACUUAUUUCCCCUACAAUAUGAAGGUACAUUACAUGAAGGAACAAGGAACAAUACUCGAAGGAACAUUACACGAAGGAACAAUACAUGAAGGAACAAUACUUGAAGGAACAUUACAUGGUGGAACAAUACAUGAAGGAACAAGGAACAAUAUACGAAGGGGCAAAACAUCAAUGAACAAGGAACAAUAGAUGAAGGAACAAUAUAUGAAGCAACAUAGAACAAUACAUGAAGGAACAUUACAUGAUGAAGGAACAAAGAACAGUACAUGAAGGAACAAUACUUGGAGGAACAUUACAUGAAGGAACAAAACACGAAGGAACAAUACUUGAAAGAACAUUACAUGAAGGAACAAUACAUAAAGAUAUAAGGAACAUUACAUGGAGGAACAAUACAUGAAGGAACAAGGAACAACACGUGAAAGAACAAUCCAUGAAGGAACAAGGAUCAAUCCAUGAAGGAACAAGGAACGAUGCAUGUAGGAACAUUACAUGAAGGAACAAUGUAUGAAGGAACAUGGCACAAUACAUGAAGGAACAAUAGAUGAAGGAAAAAUACAAAAAGGAACAAUACGUGAAGAAACAUUACAUGAAGGAACAAGAAACAUCACAUGAAAGAAACAAUACAUGAAGAAACAUUACAUGAAGGAACAAAACAUGAAGUAACAAGGGACAAUACAUGAAGGAACAACAGAUGAAAGAACACGGGACAAUACAUGAAAGAACAAGGAACAAUAUAUGAAGGAACACUACAUGAAGGAAUAUUACAUGAAGGAACAGCACAUGAAGGACCAUUACAUGAAGAAACAAGGAAUAUCACAUGAAGGACCAAUACAUGAAGGGACAUUACAUGAAGGAACAAGGAACAACACAUGAAGGAACACGGAACAAUACAUGAAGAAACAAUACAUGAAGGAACACGGACCAAUACAUGAAGGAACAAUACUUGAAGGAACAAUACAUGAAGGGAAAUUACAUGAAGGAACACGGACCAAUACAUGAAGGAACACGGACCAAUACAUGAAGGAACAAUACUUGAAGGAACAAUACAUGAAGGGAAAUUACAUGAAGGAACACGGACCAAUACUUGAAGGAACACGGACCAAUACAUGAUGGAACAUUACAUGAAGGAAGAAGGACCAAUACCAAUACUGGUGGGAUCAUGCAGGGAAUUCUGCAAUUCAGAAAUACUAUAAUCAAUGCCCUCACAACAAGAACACAGUAGCCAGAGAAAACCCAUGCAACAUGCAAAUACCACCUAUAAAUGCCCUAGUCAACUCAAACUUGGGUUCAUAUCAAAAGCACCAUGAAACGUUCAAGAUCUCACUAAAUCAAAUACUCAAGAUCGAAACAAUAACACUACAACAAUAAUAAAAAAAAAACACAAUGCACAGGUCAUGGUGUGAACGGCACACACCCAAAACACAGCAAUCAAUCACCACAAACAAUAUACCACAGCCAUUUCAUGGAUGUUAUUAAUGUGUCUAUAAAUAAAGUUUGAGUUGAACUGAAGUGACAAACCUCAGUGUGACAUUGUUAUCAUGUCUAUUUAUCUACACAAUCUAAUUCCCAAAUGUUAUAUUCUUGAUGUCUGUGGUGGAGGUAGGUCACUGCCACCUUCUGCCACCAGAACAUUAUGAUCAAGACCAUCAACUGAGGAUUCAUCUGAUCUGUCCCCUGAGGUUCAGUUAUAUCUCACUUAUUUAAAGCAAACAGGAGGCAGCUGAACAGAAUUUGAAGUUAUUUGAUUACUUUAUUUGAAGACAGAUUUCUGUUUAAAGUUAGUAAAUUAUGAAUGCAUCAUAAUGUAUAUUUACCAUUAAAUAUGAACUAUUUUGCAAAAGAAUUACAGAGAAUCUGAUCAAUUAAAUGAAAUAAGUUUCUUAUUGUUUCAUUUUUUUUAUGUUUUCUAUCCGCAGUUUGUUUUCAUUGUACAGAAAGUCAGUAUAAAAAUUUGGUAUAGAAAAGUUGGUAUAUAUGUUGUUGUGUGUCGUGGCAAAAGAUCUUGAGCAAAAAGUCUAAUACACAAAUAAUAGGAUUCCGGAGGCUAGCUGGAGGACUGGCAACUGGAAGAACUGGCAGAGAAUGGUAGAGUGGAGAGUCCUUAAACAUGGUUUAACACAACGAGAGAUGUGAAACAGGUGGGAAGGCAGCCCAGCCCCAGCGUAGCAAUCAGCAGCUCAUUCCACACACCUGAGGUGAGAAAAGCAGGCAUGAAAGUAAACCAAAAGAGGGCAACAAGUCACCUCCUAACAGAAUGUCACAGCUGAAAUCGAGACUUGUCAGACCACGUUUUUCCAAUGUUCUUUUGUCCAAUUUUUGUGAGCCAAACUGUAGUCUCGGCAUCUGUUCUUAGCUGACAAGAGUGACACCCGAUGGAGUCUUCUGCUGCUGUAGCCCAUCUUCUUCAA